AAACUGGAUUUAACUGACUCCUAAAGGAAAGAAAGUAAAGUGAAAUAGACUCGCAGAGCAGUAUGUUGUACAUGUUUUUAAGAUAUUGAAAAAGACAUUGAAUUUUUCAGACAUUGAACGGAUGGCUGAAUUUGUGGAGUAGUGGAUGAACCUGCAAAUUCAACAUGGAAUUGAAUAUUUCCCACAUAGAGUAAGCGCCCCGUCCUUCCCCUCCUCUUUCCAUCAUGCCGAGCAGGAUUCCUAGAGUUCCAGAUGUGGCGCUGCGUCCCUCACAGGCCCCUUAGCAGGGCCCUCUCCUUCAUAUCGGGUGGCCUGGUUCACCGUGUCCUCAGACAACCCGAGCUGAGCACAGGAAAGGGGCCACGAUCUGGGGGAGGCCCACUUCAGCCUCAGAUCAGGAUCUACAGCUCUACUGCUCUCUCCACAAUAUAGUUAUAUAGUGUAAUGCCUCUGACAGCGGUACAGAAAGCUGUUUAGACAUGUUUUUGUGAUUGUGAGAGUUAGAGUGGCUACUUGUUUUCGUAGUAUACAUGUGUAAAAUUAUAUUAUUAGUAAAAAUGAAUUAUUGUUAUUGCGAUUUUAAUUUUUUCUGGCCCAUAUUGAAUCCGUCUAUUCGUCUGUCCAUUCAUUUAUCCAUCUCUAUCCAUCAAUUUGUCUUUCUGUCUCUGUCUGUAUAUCAGUCUAUCCAUCUAUCUUUCUGUCUAUCUCUAAUAAAUUUUU